rnacentral:lncRNA from 1 species
AGAAGAACAGCGCUGCUUUUGACAGCUGGAAUGCGCACAUUGUCAUAAUCCUGCUGGAUACCUACUGUAAGUGAAAGGUAUGCAUCUUCCUGAAGCUACAAGAGGUGAUGUCAGAUUGAAUAAAAGUCAGUGUUGUAGGCCAUCCACCUGCGUGACACAUUGAUGACUCCAGCUUUUGCUGAGGGGGAGGAAAAUUGCUUGCCGUUCUUCUUUACCAAUAUAAGUCAUACAUGUAUUCAAAUCAGAAACAGCAUUUGGGGGAAGAAAAUGCUUUUCAAGCCUUCAUCUCCAUUGCAAAUAUAACAGCUCCACCUUGAGGCAGGACCCAGUGAAUGUUAGUAGAAGGUGCAGUCAAGCUGAAGAUGCCUAUCAGCAUACAGUCAGCCACAACUACCUAAAACAUGGAUUGACAUCUCCCAGUGUCCCUUUCUGCUCAUCUUCUUAGCAUUCAAGCCGGCACGUGUGCACAUGAUGCAUGUGUUUGGACAAAUUUACUGAAGAGAAAUUAAAUAUAUAUCAAAUAAGCAUCAGUUUGACAGAACAGCUCCCAAGGAUGAUACAAGUCAAGCCUAACAAGGCCUGACAGAAAUAGUCCUUAAGGAGCAGGAAUUAUCCAAGAUGCUCUCUGAGUAGUGUAAGCAAACAAAUUUCAGACCAUUAAUUUUUUCAUUAUCGUAUUCUUCCUAAAUGAGGAGUAAAAAAGAUUAAUACAUUUCAACGUUUCAUUUAAAUCACUAUUCAAAUAUUCUGAGAAAACAAUUUUAACACACUGCUAAGCAUUGCAAGUAAGUUCUCUGCGAGCAUUAAUGACAGUAUUUAUAGUUAAAUUGGUCAUUCUAACAAUUUUUGUAUUUUAUAAUACUGAUAAACCCCAUUUCAGAGCUUGCAUAACCAAAAGCCUAGGAAUAACUUCUGCUGUGGAGUACAUUAUCAUUUCCAUAUCCUUAGCUCUGACUCUCUGAAAGCCACACCUUAAGUUAAAGGCUUCACAAUAUGACUUUCACAAUUACAAAUAACACCACUUAUUACACACAAGUUGUUUAUUAAAUGCAAAGUGUUACCACAUUCAGGUGCUCCUAUUUUUUUUCCAUGCCCAACCUCCUAAAUUAAUCACAUUCCUUACAAGUUCCACAUAAAAUGUAUUUGCUAUUACUGGUCACCUCCAGUAAAGAGUCAAAAGUAUGCCCUUUCUUUGUGUAUUUCCUCUGAUAGCUUUUCGUGUGAUCUUGAAAUAGCACUGACCUAUCAACAAAGUGUCUCAGUCUCAGUGGCAGCAGUGCUUCUAAUUUGUUAAUGUAAAAAAAAAACCAGCUGUUUGUCCUUAUAAAACAAAAUCGUUGUUUCUGGAUAAACCUAUUCUUUAGAACAGUUUUG